rnacentral:rRNA from 1 species
CCUACGGGAGGCAGCAGUAGGGAAUCUUGCGCAAUGGGCGAAAGCCUGACGCAGCCAUGCCGCGUGAAUGAUGAAGGUCUUAGGAUUGUAAAAUUCUUUCACCGGGGAAGAUAAUGACGGUACCCGGAGAAGAAGCCCCGGCUAACUUCGUGCCAGCAGCCGCGGUAAUACGAAGGGGGCUAGCGUUGCUCGGAAUUACUGGGCGUAAAGGGCGCGUAGGCGGAUAGUUUAGUCAGAGGUGAAAGCCCAGGGCUCAACCUUGGAACUGCCUUUGAUACUGGCUAUCUUGAGUUCGGGAGAGGUGAGUGGAAUGCCGAGUGUAGAGGUGAAAUUCGUAGAUAUUCGGCGGAACACCAGUGGCGAAGGCGACUCACUGGCCCGAUACUGACGCUGAGGCGCGAAAGCGUGGGGAGCAAACAGGAUUAGAUACCCUGGUAGUCCACGCUGUAAACGAUGAGUGCUAGUUGUCGGCAUGCAUGCAUGUCGGUGACGCAGCUACGACAUUAAGUACACCUCCGCCGUCGGGGUAGGUACGGUCGGCGAAGAAGUUAAAACGUUAACGAAACGGAAGUUAGACGGCGUGAGACGUGCCGACGGACGACGACGAGGGAGGUUAGG